rnacentral:rRNA from 1 species
GACGAACGCUGGCGGCGUGCCUAAUACAUGCAAGUAGGACGCAGUUGCGAACGGGUGAGUAACGCGUAGGUAACUACCUAUUAGAGGGGGCUAACUAUUGGAACCGAUAGCUAAUACCGCAUACUCGUAGAUGGACCUGCGUUGUAUUAGCUAGUAGGUAGGGUAAUGGCCUACCUAGGCAACGAUACAUAGCCGAUCGGAGAGGGUGAGCAGCCACACUGGGACUGAGACACGGCCCAGACUGCUACGGGAGGCAGCAGUAGGGAAUCUUCGACAAUGGGGGGAACCCUGACCGAGCAAUGCCGCGUGAGUGAAGAAGGUUUUCGGAUCGUAAAACUCUGUUGUUAGAGAAGCGGUAUCUAACCAGAAAGCCACGGCUAACUACGUGCCAGCAGCCGCGGUAAUUC